rnacentral:rRNA from 1 species
UACGGAGGGUGCAAGCGUUAUCCGGAUUUAUUGGGUUUAAAGGGUGCGUAGGCGGUUAUUUAAGUCAGUGGUGAAAGUUUUCGGCUCAACCGGAAAAUUGCCAUUGAUACUGGGUAGCUAGAAUAUGGUUGCUGUGAGUAGAAUGUGUGGUGUAGCGGUGAAAUGCAUAGAUAUCACACAGAAUACCGAUUGCGAAGGCAUCUCACAAAGCCAUCAUUGACGCUGAGGCACGAAAGUGUGGGGAUCAAACAGGAUUAGAUACCCUGGUAGUCCACACUGUAAACGAUGAUAACUAGCUGUUGGCGAUACACAGUCAGUGGCCAAGCGAAAGCGAUAAGUUAUCCACCUGGGGAGUACGACCGCAAGGUUGAA